UCGCGGCCUCCCGGAACCGGAAGGCGCCCUUGCGGCCCAAGCGGCGGCCCUUCGCGACCUCGGGGGGCGGCGGGCACGCGACCCGCUUGCAGGCCGGGGCCUCCCGCUCUAGCGCACCUCCGACGCGUGCAGCUCGCACCGCGGGACCUCGCUGCCAGACAGGUAGAAGCCGGCGUCCAUCUGGAGGUCGCACGAACGCUUGAAACACUGGUCCGCGGACACCGGCGACCACCGCCCGCUGGGCCUGCAAAGCGCCAGGGUGAGAAUCUCCUGGCGACGCAAGUACCCCGGCCUGCACCGGAAGUCCACCCGUUCCCCGACAUCGUAGGCGGCUUUGGUCGUGCCCACCAGCUCCAUAUUGGGGGCCCCAGUUGUUCCCUGAGGUCGGGUCCCUGGGUGAGGCAGGACCAGGUGAUGCAGGAGGGUUUGCCUGGAAACGCAGCCCCAGACGAGCAUGCCUGGCAAGCAGGGUGGUGGAAGAGGCCGGAGGGCCCAGGAGUCUCAGGGCGCAGGUGCCCGAGUGGAGACGCCUCUGAAGCUUUCCCCAUGGCUGGUUCCUGGUUUCCUGCACCCCCGAGCAUGGGGCCCCUAGUGAGGAUUUUAAGGAAGGUUGGCUUGCACUUCCUCAUCAAGCUGUUGCACCUGAACACAUGGAAAUAGUGUUCCCACCCCAGGCCUCCUGACAGUGCCCUCCCUGUUCACCCAGCACACCUUGCUGAGCAGUCAGUGUACUUCCUCCUCCUUGAAUUUGUGUGUUGCUCUGCUGGUGUCCAGUGUUUACAUCACACUGGAGGAUUCACAGACCUCAAGCUGAAAUCUGAGAGCGUCCUUUUCUAAGCUAGCUCCAUCUCCUUCUCCUGCAAUUUGCUUCAGCCAUUGUAUAUUUUAUCGCUGUGAGACACAGACUUCCAUCUGUAUCUACUCAUAGCCUGAGAAAUGUUGUAGUCAUUUCAAUUUUCCAUAUCAAUCAGUCUGACAGUGUUUACUUCCUAAGUAAAUUAUGUUUCAAAGCUACAGAAUAAAGCAUGAGACAAUAUGUAUUUGACUGUGAACCUAAGUAAUCUUUGGAAAUUCCUUUCUUCUUCAUUCUUUUUAGAACUUUUACUAGUAUUGCUAGUGAGAGUUUCAUAUUUAUUUCAGGAACUUGUGUCUAUUUUGAGAUCUGUUAUUAGCUUCUUUCGCCUCUUCCAGCUUUAUUGAAAUAUAACUGACUAAUAAAAUUAUAUAGAUUUAUAGGGAACAUUAUAUUUCAGGCACAUUAUCAUACAAUUACCACAAUCACAUCAUUGUGAUACAUAUCACUCACAAUGUUGCUUUCUGUUUUUGAUCAGAAUACUUACGAUUUACUAUCAGCAAAUCUUAUGUAUUUCAUAUCGUACACAGUGUAGUAUAGGAGCCGUAGUCACUGUCUUGUUCACUAUUACCCCAACGUUUGUCCCGAUGCAUGGCUGAAAACUUAACCUUGACCAGAGGUCUCCUCACUGCCCUCCGUCCCACCUGGGCACAAUCACCAUUUUGCCCUCUGUGAUUUCACCUUUUCAGGAGGUCAUGUUUAACACUUUUAGCCUUUCCAACACUGGCUGUCAAGAGCAUGCACUAUUGCAAAUGCGAUUAUUUCCUUUCUUGAAGGUUAAAUAAUAUUCACUCAUCUAUGUGUGAUAUUUUCUUAUCCUUUCAUCUACCAGUGAACCCUGGUUCCUAUGGUGGCUCUAUUCUGAAUUUUGAAGAAUCUUCACCACUGUCUUUGAUAAUGGUGAUAACAAUUUGCGUUUCCACCAACUGAGAACAAGGGUUUCCCUUUGUCCAAUUCCUGUCAACAACGCAUGUUAUCUUCCACCAUUUGUGAAAGAUACUAAUGGCCCUUCUAACAGUUGUGAGAGGUUCUCUCUCUGUCAUUUUGGCUUGAGUUUCCCUAAUUAUUUGAGUGAGGAGAAUUUUUUCAAGUAUUUCUUGAACAUUUUUUGUAUGCCUUAUUUUUGAGAAAUGUUUUUUAAGGUGCUUUACUCAUAUGUCCUUCCUAUGACACAAGUCAUCUUUCCACACAGUUUACUUUUUUCCUUUGCUUUUCAGUAGAGUUUUGAUGCUGUCAGGUUUUUCUAUUUCUGAUUUUGUUGCUCAUGAUGUUGUAAUCAAAUUUAAAAAAUAAUUGUCACUGAAUCUACAUUUUAUAAUAAAUGAACAUUUUACUAUAUUAAUUUUUAAU
rnacentral:lncRNA from 1 species